CUGAUGCAGGACCUGAUGGGGUCCCUGCUUGGAGUGUUGAAUCUGAAGUCUUAUCCACCCCUGUGUUUUCUUGACAGCCCUGCAAGAAGGGAGUCGUGGAAGUGUCUGUGCAUGCUUCUGAGCAAGGAAUGCCAACUUAAUUCGCUACUGCCCUACGUUGUUGCGUAUAGCUGUGCAAACGAGCGAGCAAGAGCUGGCGAGCCAGGGCCGCUGUCCCAUGCAUAAUGGUGGCAGUGCUCUAUGUGCACACUGGCAAUUCGGGCCCUGCACCUGUAACAGUAUUACAUCCAAGUAAAGAAAUAAUAACCCAAAUAUACAUAACUGAAAGAAUUGUUCCAGAACGACUUAUCUCACAUCAAUUACACAAUUAGGAAUCUGGUCUUCAGCACUGAAGAGUAAAGAAAUUCAUUGGGAAGUACAUAGCGUUUUUCUGUCCAACUGUAUCAUUAUAGGGCUGAGCUGUUUCAAACCAAAUGGGGAAAAUAUGGACCAAAACUCCCACUGAGAAAUAAAAGCAGC